UUGGGAGAAUGUAUAGCUCCUCUUAUGAGGCUAGUUAUGUUUUGGAUUGUUAGCAAACACACCUGGUAUGGGGGUAGCAAUUACUACAUAAUACCAACUACGUUGGAUAAAGUUCUAGAUAGAAUACUGAUUAUGACUAUUUUCUAUCUACAUGUCUUGACCAAAUUACGUGCCAGCAGUCGCGGUAAUACGUAGAAGACUAGUGUUAUUCAUCUUUAACAGGUUUAAAGGGUACCUAGACGGCAUUACUAACUUUAAAUAGAGAAAUAGUUUUGCUUGAGUUUGAUAAGAGAAGGGGAGUAUUUAUGGAGUAGAGAUGAAAUUCUUUGAUACUUUAAGGACUGGUUAAGGCGAAAGCGGCCUUCUAUGUAAAAACUGACGUUGGGGGACGAAGGCUUGGAUAGCGAACAGGAUUAGAUACCCUAGUAGUCCUUGCAGAAAAUGAUGAAUGCCAUAGACUAGGUUUAAUUUAGUGUAUAAAUGAAAGUGUAAGCAUUCCACCUCAAGAGUAAUGUGGCAACGCAGGAACUGAAAUCAUUAGACCGUUUCUGAGAACAGUAGUGAAGUAUGUUAUUUAAUUCGAUAAUCCUCGAAAAACCUUACCACAGCGUGAAUAUGUCAUUAGUUUAUUAAGGGAAUAAAAUUCCUUAUAUGCAAUAAAUGUAGAAGUACAUUUAUUAUAGUGAUGUUACAAGUGUUGCACGGUUGUCUUCAGCUAAUGUCGUGAGAUUUUGGUUAGUUCCAUAAAAUUAGCGUAAACCCCGGCUUUAUUUUUAAAUUAUUCUCAUAAAGCAGCUCGUCACUAUAUUGAUUAUAUGAUAA
rnacentral:rRNA from 1 species